rnacentral:rRNA from 1 species
AGUGAACGCUGGCGGUAGGCCUAACACAUGCAAGUCGAACGGCAGCACAGUAAGAGCUUGCUCUUACGGUUGGCGAGUGGCGGACGGGUGAGGAAUACAUCAGAAUCUACUUUUUCGUGGGGGAUAACGGAGGGAAACUUACGCUAAUACCGCAUACGACCUACGGGUGAAAGCAGGGGAUCUUCGGACCUUGCGCGUUUGAAUGAGCCGAUGUCGGAUUAGCUAGUUGGCUGGGUAAAGGCCCACCAAGGCGACGAUCCGUAGCUGGUCUGAGAGGAUGAUCAGCCACACUGGAACUGAGACACGGUCCAGACUCCUACGGGAGGCAGCAGUGGGGAAUAUUGGACAAUGGGCGCAAGCCUGAUCCAGCCAUACCGCGUGGGUGAAGAAGGCCUUCGGGUUGUAAAGCCCUUUUGUUGGGAAAGAAAAGCAGCAGGUUAAUACCCCGCUGUUCUGACGGUACCCAAAGAAUAAGCACCGGCUAACUUCGUG